GUUGGUGUAAUAAGUUUUUCAUGAUCUAAAAAGAGGGGUGAAAAAGAACAGAAAACCAGCACAUGAUAGCACAUAACCAGAAUAAUAUUGAGAUUUUUUAAAGAUAAUGACAAACAAAUAAAAAAUCUAAUAUCGAAUGAUGGUUGGUUCAUAUGUACUUGUGGAGCGAACGUAUAAGUCAUGAUCAUCCUCAUCAACACCUCUCCUAAAUUAUCAAAUAUGGUAAACAUGUAUAGCAUAAAAUAAAUGAUAUAGAGCUAGAUCAAUUUACAACCACAUCCUCUUAGUAUCUCUCUAUGAGGUUCACCCGAAAAUAUAUAGUACAAUUAAUUAAGGUUGUGAUACAUGGUUGAUGAAUGGAUAAUUUUAUAGUUUCAUGAAUCCUGAUUGAUUGCUUAUCUGACAUGUGGCGCUCGUUAUGUGGCUGGACCCUGAUAUCGUGUGGCCUACGUUAUCCUUAUCUUCGUGGCUGAUGAAGACUAAGCAUCUGGAUUAAGCUGGGCCAAGUUUCUUUGUCCAUUACUCCCCAAGUUAAUAUCAGGUAUUAAAUUAAGUUAAUUAUAAAUUAAUUUUAAAAAAAAUUAUAUUGCAUAGAAACAUAGACCCGUCUUUUGAUUAAUGUACAUAUUCUAUUGUAUCCGUACAUUUAUUUAUUUUUGUACGGGUAAAAGAAUUAUGUACAUUGAUCAAUUGAUUGUCCAGUAUGGACAGUUUGAAAAAUAUGAGUAAUUCUAUAG
rnacentral:lncRNA from 1 species